UCCCAGUUGACUCAGUGAUAAAGGAUCUGCCUGCAAUGCAGGAGACUCAGGUUUGAUCCCUGGGUUGGGAA
rnacentral:tRNA from 1 species